rnacentral:misc_RNA from 1 species
AAGUCGUAACAAGGUUUCCGUAGGUGAACCUGCGGAAGGAUCAUUACCAGAAGUUGGGUAGCUGGAGGGAACUCCUCUACCGAACCUCCACCCCUGUGUUUAUUCCUCUGGUGUUGCUUUGGCAGGGUGCCCCCCUGCCAGAGGUAUGAAAUUCUGUUAACACUGUAAUGAAGCUCCAUCAUGAAAAAGCCAAAACUUUCAACAACGGAUCUCUUGGUUCCG